rnacentral:rRNA from 1 species
GGUCCACACUUCUACGGGAGGCAGCAGUGGGGAAUAUUGCACAAUGGGCGCAAGCCUGAUGCAGCCAUGCCGCGUGUGUGAAGAAGGCCUUCGGGUUGUAAAGCACUUUCAGCGAGGAGGAAGGGUUCGGUGUUAAUAUCACUGUUCAUUGACGUUACUCGCAGAAGAAGCACCGGCUAACUCCGUGCCAGCAGCCGCGGUAAUACGGAGGGUGCAAGCGUUAAUC